UGCACCCAGGUUCACUGAAGCAUGGGCCUCUUCCAGAUAUUUGUCUUUUGUCUAUGUUGUAUGCAAGAUAAAACGCACCCAGCUUCGCUGACAAAUGGGUCCGAUAGCAAGAGCACAAUCUUGUGAGUGACCUCGCAGCAAGUGCAGCUUACCAAAUUUUCAUUUCACGCCUAGGAACUUGAAAGUGGGAUCUUCAAAUUCUGUAUUCCCUCGCCUCCC
rnacentral:lncRNA from 1 species